UCAGAGUGGAAUUAGCAGGAUAUACUGCACCCAUCAGGAGAAAUGCCAAAGAAGUUAGAGAGAAUUAGAGGAGGAAGCACCAAAGUAUGUGACUCAUGGCUUCAGAGAAGAGAGCCAAUUAUGAAUUCAAGAAAUAAUUAGUCCCUGCAGUUGGGUGUUCAUCUGCACAUAGAAGCAGGUCUGGGGAGCCCAGCUCAGUGACCUGCCUAGCAAUGCAAGUACCCAGUGAGGAGCAGCAUGCAAAUAUGAGUGGUCAUCAGGGCCCCGUGGUUGCAGAACCUGAAUAGCCUUGAUCACCUGUGCUCCCUGGAAGCAAAGUACUCCCUGAAUCCUCUUCGUCUUUAUAAAGGGAAAAGGUGCAAUGGUCUAGGACCUCACCAGGCUAAAAUAAGAGCAGAUUUAUCAAAUGCUUUGAGAUCCUUUAAUGAACAACAGUAGGAAUAUGGGAUAUUGGAAGAAUGAUGGUGAUGUCUUCAUCAGAAACAGUAAAGUUUGGAAGGGGAGUUGGUAGAGAAGCUGGUUCACCUGCUUGGGCUGGUAAUGGAGAAUCUUUGGGCAUAAGGAAAAUCUAACCUACAACUCCUUCUGUUUUCACCUGGAUCAUUGCCUUUUCUCCUAGCUCCUUCUGUCUGCUGAACCAUCUGCGAUUCAAUUGCUCAGGGGACUGUUGGGCCUUCACUGACCUUCAUUCAUCCUCCGGAACUUUUCCUUGGACAUGUACCCCAGCACCAGACAGCAUCCUCUCUUCUGGAGCCCAAGUUCUGGAAGGAAGCACACAGUAGGAUGAGUCAAGACACGCUGACGCAUCUGAAGGCACAGCCAAGCGAUCUCACUUCAAACAAACCUCCAUCUCAGGCGCCCAAAUUGACGAUGUUAAGUUCUCUCAUCCAAGGCCUUGGCCCUUUCUUUAGGGGAUCCUGUGCUGUAUAGGGCCGCCUGGAUCAAAGCCCCUUUGAUGUUUACUUACUAUAUUUGUGGAUUCUUUCUAACAACCAUCUUCAAGAGGCAAGAAUCCAGACUGCCUAGAAGGGGCAAGCGGAAGUAUAAGCGACACACAGAGUUUUAGUGGAACAAUAGCCGCUCACCAGAGACUGCAAUGAAAGCCCGAACACACUGACGAUGAGUAUAGUUAACUAUCCCAUUAUGAUUGCAGAUGCAUUGUUCGUCAUUGGAAUGAUACAAUUGCUGACAAUGUCUAUUAUAUUUUUCAUUGGCGUUUUAUGAUCAUCUUAAAGCACAUCCCUAACAUUUCCUAAUUAAAGAGAGAGGGGGGGAAAGGGGUGGAAGAAACAGACACAAAGACAGAGAGACAGAGAAAGAGAGAGAGAGACAGAGACAGGGAGAGAGGGAGGGGGGAGAGAAGAGAGGGAAAUGGAGACAGAUGGAGGGUGGAAGGGAAGAAGGGAGAGGAAAGAAAGGAGAAGGAAAUGGAGACAGAGACAGAGAGAGAGAGUGAAGAAGGGAAGGAGGGAGGGAGAGAGGAAGGGAAGGAGAGAGGAAGAUGGGGAUGGAGAUGGAGACAGAGAAAGGGAGGGAAAGGGAGAGAGUUCAGGGAGGAAAAGAGUAAAUGAAAGAAGAGCAAGAGACCCUGGAAUACUUCUGAGACCGUCUCAGUUUAUCCUCUGGAGUUGCAGCAACAUAACUUCAAGGAAAAGGAGGGAGGCAGCAAUUCCCCAGGGAAUUUUGAGAGCAUAAACAGAAAGUUAAGAGCUUUACAUGAUCUAAAAGCUCAUACCUAAUAGCUGUGGAAAUCUGAAAUAGGGCUUUCUAACUGGCUCUGAGUUGAGACUCUAUUCUGAGCCUUUAAUCUAAUAGCUCAUAAUUUUGUCUUUGUAUUUCCUAUGUGUCCUUCUUUCAGUCUAACACAAAGUCACUGCUUGUUGAUUGGUUGGUUGACACAGGCAUAGUUCUUUGUAUGGAUGAAAACCCCAAGGUUCAUUGAGAAGUCAUUUGUCCACGGUUAUAUAGGUAAUAAGUGUUUGCAUCAGGAUUCAAACACAGGUCCUUGGGUUCGAAAUCCAGGGCUGUGUCCUCUCUACCAAACACUUGUUGCUUAUAAACAUGCCAGUACGUGGGAUCAAGUUUAAUAAAAUUCUCCAGAUAUUUAUGGAGUACCAAUUAUGUGCUGAGUACUGGAGCUGUAGCAAAGAUUCUAUAACACCUGGUCCCUGUCCACAUGAAGCCGGCUGCACAGUGGUCUGGCUAGUGUUCCAGCAUCCACUUUGCUCUGGUCUGCUUGUCAAGGGCUGAGCGUACUAGGAAAGAUGUUAUAGACUAUCAUUGUAACCAGGAGACUCGCUGACAACAUCUGAUUUUUGCAAAUUAGCAAGAAAAGGAAUUUAAAAAACCUGAUUAAUAAAAGAAAUUGGGGAUGCGG